GUGUAGGGCUUACGCCACUUGAAAUGAGAUUUGUUGCCGGUCGCUCUAAUCAUAGCUCGCCUCUUGCACGUGUAGGCAGCUACAGUAUUAUAAAAUACAGAAUUGAACUGCACAAUGGCUGCUCGGAAUGACGACCAGGCCAGCAAAGCUCGCGGUUCAGUCUCCGUGUUGUUGUGCAUACGAUCAAGGCAGCGUAAUGGUCAUAUGAAAGGGGCUUGAUGAAUCAGGGAAGGAUACACAAUGAUUCAGAAGACCCAAGUUUUCGUUUUGGUCCGUUUACACUGAAACGCAAGCCUUCUCGAACUAAAACGGGGUCUUCGGCGUUUCCAAGAGACUCCGUUUUCGACGGUCGAAAAUGCCGGAGCAGUGUGAGCUACACUCUCUGGUCCUUCCGUAACACCCGGAUUUCUGCAAAAUGCAAUUACAGACAGGUCUGUAAGAAGAUCUGAAGACCUGAAGUAAGACGUCUGGAAGAAGAUUUUCAGUAUUCAAGUAAGCAGUGUAUCAUGAUAUUAUACAUGCAAUUAAAGUGGUACAGAGUCAAUGAAAACAGCCACUUCUGUCCUGACGGUUCAUUUAAACCGACUAGGUUACAAACUAUUUUCCCGCGACGCUGCUGAAUUCUUAACUCUGCUAUACAAGCCGCUCGUUUUUUAUUUUUAUUUUUUAUUGGGGAAAUAUAUACAGUACAGAUAACUAAGCAGAAUCGAGUCAGAAGACCCUCGGUAUUUUCCUGAUUCAUACAUGAACCGAACGAAAAAGUUAUAGUUCCUUCGGCAGUUAUUAACUAUAUAUACAUAUUUAUACGUACACGCACUACCUUGACUGAAACGUUUCCCGUGAUCUUAAAAAGCUUUUGAUCUGAAGGUGUGCGAUUUAAAUGUUUGAAACGGUGUCGUGGAUAGAAAUAUAAUCGUGCCGACGUAUUCAUUUCUAUCGGAAGAAAACGAACGUUUUAUUUAAACGGACGACUCGGAGCGGAACGUUUCCGAAAAGCGGCCGAGAAGAGUCCGGCGUCGGUGGGAACUCCUUUAAUGCUGUUUUAAAGGCAUCACAGGGGAAUCCCUGAAGAAAUCGGUGGAGAAAACGCCGAGGAUACAUUUCCGGAAAUUCGAGGCGAAAAAGCGCGUCGACUUUGAAGACGCUAAAAUACUCAAUUAUUUUGAUUUUUGAUCACAACAUAAUUCCCAUAGUUCCAUUUGUGUUACUCCAGAGUUUUGAUGACUUUACUAUUACUAUAAAAUGUGGGGGGCUGGGGGGACGAC
ensembl:lncRNA